AAAUGCGAUAAUUAAUGUGAAUUGCAGAAUUCAGUGAAUCAUCGAGUCUUUGAACGCACAUUGCGCCCCCUGGUAUUCCGGGGGGCAUGCCUGUCCGAGCGUCAUUGCUGCCCUCAAGCACGGCUUGUGCGUUGGGCUUCCGUCCCUGGCAACGGGGACGGGCCCAAAAGGCAGUGGCGGCACCAUGUCUGGUCCUCGAGCGUAUGGGGCUUUGUCACCCGCUCCCGUAGGUCCAGCUGGCAGCUAGCCUCGCAACCAAUCUUUUUAACCAGGUUGACCUCGGAUCAGGUAGGGAUACCCGCUGAACUUAAGC
rnacentral:misc_RNA from 1 species